rnacentral:snoRNA from 2 species
CCUCAAGUGAUGACAACAGUUCUCAAAUGUUCGCAGUUGAGAGUUCCCGAAAAGGAGAGCAACUCGAUGAGUUCCAUUGGUUAGCCUUCACUUAGAUGUCUGACGAGG